rfam:Myotis lucifugus cont2.25545, whole genome shotgun sequence.
GCCGGUUUGGCUUAGUGGAUAGAGCAUCAGUCUGCAGACUGAAGGUCCUGGGUUCAAUUCCAGUCAAAGGCA